UAGCAUAAUCAUUAGUCUUUUAAUUGGAGGCUUGUAUGAAUGGUUGGACAAAAAAUAAGCUGUCUCUGUUUUGUAUCUUGAAUUUAACUUUUAAGUGAAAAGGCUUAAAUGAUCUGGGGGGACGAUAAGACCCUAUAAAGCUUUACGGUUUGUUAAUUAAAUUAUAAAUUGUUAGUAUAAACUUAAUUUAGCUAACAGCUGUUUCGUUGGGGCGACGAAAAUAUAAUAGAUAGUAACUGUUUUUCUUUUAUAAUAACAAUGAUUUUUGGUAGUAAUUGAUCCUUUAUUAAAGAUUAAAAGAUUAAGUUACUUUAGGGAUAACAGCGUAAUCUUCUUUGAGAGUUCAUAUCGACAAGAAGGGUU
rnacentral:rRNA from 1 species